GAUGAACGCUGGCGGCGUGCUUAACACAUGCAAGUCGAACGAUGAAGCCCAGCUUGCUGGGUGGAUUAGUGGCGAACGGGUGAGUAACACGUGAGUAACCUGCCCUUAACUCUGGGAUAAGCCUGGGAAACUGGGUCUAAUACCGGAUAGGAGCGUCCACCGCAUGGUGGGUGUUGGAAAGAUUUAUCGGUUUUGGAUGGACUCGCGGCCUAUCAGCUUGUUGGUGAGGUAAUGGCUCACCAAGGCGACGACGGGUAGCCGGCCUGAGAGGGUGACCGGCCACACUGGGACUGAGACACGGCCCAGACUCCUACGGGAGGCAGCAGUGGGGAAUAUUGCACAAUGGGCGCAAGCCUGAUGCAGCGACGCCGCGUGAGGGAUGACGGCCUUCGGGUUGUAAACCUCUUUCAGUAGGGAAGAAGCGAAAGUAACGGUACCUGCAGAAGAAGCACCGGCUAACUACGUG
rnacentral:rRNA from 1 species